rnacentral:rRNA from 1 species
UGGGGAAUAUUGGACAAUGGGCGCAAGCCUGAUCCAGCCAUGCCGCGUGAGUGAUGAAGGCCCUAGGGUUGUAAAGCUCUUUCACCGGUGAAGAUAAUGACGGUAACCGGAGAAGAAGCCCCGGCUAACUUCGUGCCAGCAGCCGCGGUAAUACGAAGGGGGCUAGCGUUGUUCGGAAUUACUGGGCGUAAAGCGCACGUAGGCGGACAUUUAAGUCAGGGGUGAAAUCCCGGGGCUCAACCCCGGAACUGCCUUUGAUACUGGGUGUCUAGAGUUCGAGAGAGGUGAGUGGAAUUCCGAGUGUAGAGGUGAAAUUCGUAGAUAUUCGGAGGAACACCAGUGGCGAAGGCGGCUCACUGGCUCGAUACUGACGCUGAGGUGCGAAGGCGUGGGGAGCAAACAGGAUUAGAUACCCUGGUAGUCCACGCCGUAAACGAUGGAAGCCAGCUGUCGGCAAGUUUACUUGUCGGUGGCGCAGCUAACGCAUUAAGCUUCCCGCCUGGGGAGUACGGUCGCAGAUUAAAACUUAAAGGGAAUUGACGGGGUCAUAGCUGUUUCCU